GACGAACGCUGGCGGCGUGCUUAACACAUGCAAGUCGAACGGAAAGGCCCUGCUUUUGUGGGGCGCUCGAGUGGCGAACGGGUGAGUAACACGUGAGUAACCUGCCCUUGACUUUGGGAUAACUUCAGGAAACUGGGGCUAAUACCGGAUAGGAGCUCCUGCUGCAUGGUGGGGGUUGGAAAGUUUCGGCGGUUGGGGAUGGACUCGCGGCUUAUCAGCUUGUUGGUGGGGUAGUGGCUUACCAAGGCUUUGACGGGUAGCCGGCCUGAGAGGGUGACCGGCCACAUUGGGACUGAGAUACGGCCCAGACUCCUACGGGAGGCAGCAGUGGGGAAUAUUGCACAAUGGGCGGAAGCCUGAUGCAGCAACGCCGCGUGCGGGAUGACGGCCUUCGGGUUGUAAACCGCUUUCGCCUGUGACGAAGCGUGAGUGACGGUAAUGGGUAAAGAAGCACCGGCUAACUACGUGCCAGCAGCCGCGGUGAUACGUAGGGUGCGAGCGUUGUCCGGAUUUAUUGGGCGUAAAGGGCUCGUAGGUGGUUGAUCGCGUCGGAAGUGUAAUCUUGGGGCUUAACCCUGAGCGUGCUUUCGAUACGGGUUGACUUGAGGAAGGUAGGGGAGAAUGGAAUUCCUGGUGGAGCGGUGGAAUGCGCAGAUAUCAGGAGGAACACCAGUGGCGAAGGCGGUUCUCUGGGCCUUUCCUGGCGCUGAGGAGCGAAAGCGUGGGGAGCGAACAGGCUUAGAUACCCUGGUAGUCCACGCUGUAAACGGUGGGUACUAGGUGUGGGGUCCAUUCCACGGGUUCCGUGCCGUAGCUAACGCUUUAAGUACCCCGCCUGGGGAGUACGGCCGCAAGGCUAAAACUCAAAGGAAUUGACGGGGCCCCGCACAAGCGGCGGAGCAUGCGGAUUAAUUCGAUGCAACGCGUAGAACCUUACCUGGGUUUGACAUGGAUCGGGAGUGCUCAGAGAUGGGUGUGCCUCUUUUGGGGUCGGUUCACAGGUGGUGCAUGCCUGUCGUCAGCUCGUGUCGUGAGAUGUUGGGUUAAGUCCCGCAACGAGCGCAACCCUUGUUCACUGUUGCCAGCACGUUAUGGUGGGGACUCAGUGGAGACCGCCGGGGUCAACUCGGAGGAAGGUGGGGAUGACGUCAAGUCCUCAUGCCCCUUAUGUCCAGGGCUUCACGCAUGCUACAAUGGCUGGUACAGAGAGUGGCGAGCCUGUGAGGGUGAGCGAAUCUCGGAAAGCCGGUCUCAGUUCGGAUUGGGGUCUGCAACUCGACCUCAUGAAGUCGGAGUCGCUAGUAAUCGCAGAUCAGCAACGCUGCGGUGAAUACGUUCCCGGG
rnacentral:rRNA from 1 species